ACUUCAACAUUAAUUAACAUAUAAUUAUUGACAAGAUAAUGAAGUUUCUUUUUCUUGUCACACCGAGUCUUUGAAAUGAGCUGCGUGGGUCACGUACAGUGGGUGGCUCGCACCUCUAAUCCCAGCACUUUGGGAGGCCAAGGCGGGCAGAUCACCUGAAGUUAGAUAUUUGAAACCAGCCUGGGCAACAUGGUGAAAUCCCAUCUCUACUAAAAACACACACACACACAAAAAAAAUUAGCCAGGCAUGGUGGCAGUCACCUGUAAUCCCAGCUACUCGGGAGGCUGAGGCAGGAGAACCGCUUGAUCCCAUGAGGCAGAGGUUGUAGUGAGCCGAGAUUGCAUCCUUGCAAUCCAGCCUGGGCAACAAGAGCGAAACUCCACCUCAAAAAAAAAAAAAAAGAAAUGAGUGGUGUAUUUUUCAGGUGCCCAGGUCUCUAAUCAGAGCCCCAUUUCAAGUACUCAGUAGUCCCUUGGCCAUGUCGCCCCCCCGACAUGGACAGUGCAGGUCCAGUGGGCUCCCCACUGACUGCAGGCAGGGAACAAGGCAGACGCUAGAGGGCCAGGCCACAGUAGGGGCUGAGGAUGUCUGGUGAAUGGAUGCCUGGGAGAAUGGAUGCUAGAAUUCACACACGAGGCCAUGAACAGGGCUGGGAAAACUUCCAAACUCAGGGAAGCACGUGUCUUGGUGCACCUUGUGAUGCUUCAACAGCAGGACUGAGAUGGGGACAUUUACAAUGAACAGAAAUGUAUGGGCUCGAGUUCUGGACUCUGGGAAGUCCCCUGUCAAUGCACCAGCAACUUUCCAGGGCCUGCGAGCUGCACAGUCACGUGGGGGUGAAGGUUGUUGCCAGAAGCUCAGGGGAUGCUCCAGACAGAGUGGCCUGGGAUGUCGAGUCACUGCUGCUCCAUGACAUGGGGGCAAGAGGAAGCAGGAGUUUAGUCUGACAUACUGCCCCCCCAGCUAGAGGGCAAGAGACAGAAAGAGGGGCUGAAGUCGCCCUUGAAUAACCACAGCAGUGGCACCCACAAAGGUGCAGUCCCCACAGCCUCAUAGCUGCUUGUAGGUGCCACCUCUUAAGGCCAUUACCAUAGCAAUUAAUACUGAACAUGAGCUUUGGAGCAGACAAACACUCAAACCGAACAGGGAGAUGGAGGAAAGGAGCUUCAAUGGCAAGAUCUCCUGGACUCCUGUCCUGGCCCCUCCUCCCCCUGCCCCACCCCUGCUCUCCUCCUGCUCCCCCUCUCAGAGCUUGCCCUGACCCUGCUCCUCUCCCAGGUGUAUUCCAAACUUAAGUACCACCCAGAGAUGAGAUUCUUCCACUGGUUCAGCAAGUGGAGGAAGCUGCAUCGUGACCAGGAGUAUGAGGUCACCUGGUACAUAUCCUGGAGCCCCUGCACAAAGUGUACAAGGGAUGUGGCCACGUUCCUGGCCGAGGACCCGAAGGUUACCCUGACCAUCUUUGUUGCCCGCCUCUACUACUUCUGGGACCCAGAUUACCAGGAGGCUCUUCGCAGCCUGUGUCAGAAAAGAGACGGUCCGCGUGCCACCAUGAAGAUCAUGAAUUAUGACGAAUUUCAGCACUGUUGGAGCAAGUUCGUGUACAGCCAAAGAGAGCUAUUUGAGCCUUGGAAUAAUCUGCCUAAAUAUUAUAUAUUACUGCACAUCAUGCUGGGGGAGAUUCUCAGGUGAGGGUCUUCCUCCAGGCUCAUCGCCUCGCUCCUCUCACCUCCUGCUCAUCCUCUUGAGGCCUCCCCCCUGUCCCAGACCAGGUCCUCUCCUGGCCAGGCCCUCCUGCCCUCCCUCCUGCCCCCCGCCUGCCCUCGUGGUUAUACCCCCUCACCCACACUCCUCAUGCUCCCUCCACCUCCCUGUCUCCCACCUGCUUUCCUGGGCCUUUCCUGUGAGUGAGAGGCCCCUUCUGCCUCCAGAGCGACCUCCAUCCACCCCCACAGCCUGGGAGCCCCAACCUGGCCCCUUCCAUCUCCCUGGCAUAACCGAAUUUGUUGUAAAACUGGACGUAGUAAGUGGGCAUGAAUAGUCACAAGCCCAACAGUCAGAAGCUUUGAGCAACAUGCUUAAAGGCCAACCUGAGCCCCUGAGAAGGAGCUGCCUCCGUGGAAACAGAGCUUCAGGCUUCGGCUGCCAUAGAAGAUGGCCGGGCCGGGUGCCCACAGGGCAGGCAUUUAUUUACUCACAGAUCUGGUGGCUGCAAGUCCAAGGUGGAGGGGUGGGCGGGGUUGUGUCUUCUGCAGUCGCUCCUCCUGGCUGGCAGGGGGUCCCUUCCGGCCCUGUCCUCUCUGGCCUUUCCUCUGUGCACCUGCACUCGUGGGGUCUCUCUGCCUCCAAAUGUCCUCCUCGUUUAUGGGCCCCAGCCAUGUGAAUUUGGGCCCACACUGAAGGUCUCAUUUAAGUUAAUCAUCUGAUGAAAGGACCUGUCUCCAGGCCAGGUGCAGAGGCUCAUGCCUGUAAUCCCAGCACUGUCGGAGUCCAAGGCGGGUGGAUCACCUGAGGUCAGGAGUUCGACACCAGCCUGGCCAACAUGUUAAAACCCCAUCUCUACCAAAAAUACAAAAAUUAGCCGGGAGUGGUGGUGGGCGCCUAUAAUUCUAGCUACUCGGAAGGCUGAGGCAGGGGAAUCGCUUGAACCUGGGAGGCGGAGGUUGCGGUGAGCCCAGACUGUGACACUGCACUCCAGCCUGGGCAAAAAAAGCGAAACUUCUUCUCAAACAAACAAACAAGAAAGAAAGGACCUGUUUCCAAAUACAGCCACCCUUUGAGGG
rnacentral:sRNA from 1 species